GUCUAUGUGGCAUAAUGGUUUGAGUGUUGGACUAUGACUCUGGAGACCAGGAUUCGAUUCCCUGCUCGGCCA
rnacentral:tRNA from 1 species